UCAAUAAGUUCUUAAAAAGUUAGAGCUUCCGUUUCCAUGUGUCCGGUCGAUUGCAAUUGCAAUUGUUCGAAUAGAGUCUGCUGAGCUGAACGAUCUUGUUUCCUGCAAUUAGGGGGUUAUAGACAAGCAGCCAAGUUAGGCUCAGUGCAUCAGAACAAUAUUUUCUUGAAGCUGAAUGGUGCAAAACAGGACCACUCUGGGCAUAAUGUAAUCGUGGAUUUGGAAAAUGAAUAUCUGAGUCCCCCUCCAACUCCCGAGCGUCCCUUUGCUUUCACUGAAAUCAAAAGAAUGGAGUAGAUCCUUUCAGAGGCAAAAGAGAUGCAGACGGAAAUAUAUCCUUCCAUACAGAGGGUUUGAAUAUGAUGAAUG